UCCUGGCUCAGGAUGAACGCUAGCUACAGGCUUAACACAUGCAAGUCGAGGGGCAGCAUGAACUUAGCUUGCUAAGUUUGAUGGCGACCGGCGCACGGGUGAGUAACACGUAUCCAACCUGCCGAUGACUCGGGGAUAGCCUUUCGAAAGAAAGAUUAAUACCCGAUGGCAUAGUUCUUCCGCAUGGUAGAACUAUUAAAGAAUUUCGGUCAUCGAUGGGGAUGCGUUCCAUUAGGUUGUUGGCGGGGUAACGGCCCACCAAGCCUUCGAUGGAUAGGGGUUCUGAGAGGAAGGUCCCCCACAUUGGAACUGAGACACGGUCCAAACUCCUACGGGAGGCAGCAGUGAGGAAUAUUGGUCAAUGGACGAGAGUCUGAACCAGCCAAGUAGCGUGAAGGAUGACUGCCCUAUGGGUUGUAAACUCCUUUUAUACGGGAAUAAAGUGAGGCACGUGUGCCUUUUUGUAUGUACCGUAUGAAUAAGGAUCGGCUAACUCCGUGCCAGCAGCCGCGGUAAUACGGAGGAUCCGAGCGUUAUCCGGAUUUAUUGGGUUUAAAGGGAGCGUAGGCGGACGCUUAAGUCAGUUGUGAAAGUUUGCGGCUCAACCGUAAAAUUGCAGUUGAUACUGGGUGU
rnacentral:rRNA from 1 species